UGUAGAGAUUAUUGUGUUGGAAUCUUCAAAUUCGAAGGAGUUUACCACAUGGUGAGAAAGACUGAUCAGAACCAUUACAAACCAAUGUGGAAAACAGAUGCUUUGCUAAUCUUCAGACUUGCUGCAAGCUUCAUGUUUAAUGAGAUAUACUUUUAAAGGAGGAUACUACUUUUCCCUUCAAAGAAGCAAAAUGAAAAUGAAGAUGCCUGCAAACAGAAAGGAAACAAGGAAUAUAGCAAGCAAGGUGACACUUAGAACAAAAAGAUAAUGGAAGUCCCCUAUUGGGAUCUUACAUAAACAAGUAGGAGUGAGGCAGUGCUAAGAAUGACAAAAAGACAGAGCAAUAACCUCCGCUUAGCAUCUUUGAAAGAAAAAAAAUUGUGCCUUUUCUGCUACUAUGAAGAAGCAACCAGACCACCCAGUAGAGGUAAGAGGAGAUGAGGUUCCCUAUUCC
rnacentral:lncRNA from 1 species